rnacentral:lncRNA from 1 species
UAGAAACAUGUCACACUUAGUCUUGCUCACUAAUGCCUUCAGAGAGCUAGGAAAAUCAUUCACAUCGAGUAGCUGGGAUAAUAUCAUUUUACAUUUAUCCCAAACACAGUAAUCAGUAUCUGAUGAAUUUCACUUUUUUCAGCUCUUCUAUUUGUCUGUGGUUGAUGUGAGAAUAUGACUUAAAUGGAAGAAGGCUAAAAAGACUGCAACUCAACCAAGCUGGUUCCAUGUCUUGGACCAAACUGCUCUGAAUCUUAGUUGCUCUGAAUGAGCACUUUUCUUAGGACAUAUUUGCAGCUGAGGCAUCCCUAGAGUUUUACUUUUUAUAUUGUGAUAAAUUAGGACUAUUGUUUGAGAUAAAAGGAGCUAAUAUUGGCCUUGUUUUGCCUUUGUCAUUGUGUCAUCGGUCAAACAAAAUAACUCUUCGAGGGACUUAUGGAUGGGGAAUAGGCUGAGCUCUUGGAAUGACAGAACACCAGAGGUUGGAAGAGUUCUCUGCAGAUCACCUCAUCCAACCUGGCUAAGGUAGGGCCAACUAAAGCAACUUGCCCAAGACAUUGUCCACUGAGGUUUUGUCUCCAAACAGGGGAGACUCCACAACCUCUCUGGAGGACUCUACAACCUGCUCCAGUUACCUUGGUCACCUUCAUGGUAAAAAAAAGUUUUCCUCUUUAGUUUAAAUGGAAUUUUCUGUAUUUUGGUUUGUGCUUUUUCAUUGCUCGGGUGCUUUUGUCAAGCUCAUGGUAACCGUGCUGUUUUGACACCAGCCAUAACAGAAGGCAGACAAAGGCACACUCACAGGUGUGGCUGGUAAGCCCUGGUCUGUUCCCUGCUCACAAGACAUUGUUAGCAAUCUUUCCCUCUUAGGUGAGUAGACUUUUUUCUCCAGACAUAUGUUGGUUUACACUCUUGUAUCCAUUUUGCAUUAGGGAUACCUGUGGGAUACCUGAAAACGAAGGAACGCCGGGAACCGGUGAGGAUCCAGAGCAGUCUGCAGGGCACAUAUAUCUAUUUGUCCAGAGAGGCACCCCAACCAUGCCCAGCGCUGAAGUCUCUGGACAGCUCGUCUCUUGAUGUGCUGUUUGCACCUGGCAAGUUACCCCAGUCGCCAGCCCAUGAAAGUCACAGUCAUGAUAUGACAGAGCAGGUGUUUUAUUUUGGCUGAGAAGAGCAAAUUUCCAGCUGGACAACAGCCUGUAGCCUUUUACAUAUACUGGAAGAUGUCACAUAACAAUGUAGAAAAAAAAAGAAAAAGAAGUUACCAAAACUUUGUCUUGGUACCCACAAAUUACAGCAGCUUCUUUUGUUGGCUGUAGUACUCUAUGGACUGAGACAAGAAUCAUGUAACUCCCCUCAUUUUUUUGAGAUC